rnacentral:rRNA from 1 species
UACGAAGGGGGCUAGCGUUGCUCGGAUUGACUGGGCGUAAAGGGCGCGUAGGCGGCUUGGCAAGUCAAAGGUGAAAUCCCUCGGCUCAACUGAGGAACUGCCUUUGAAACUGCCUGGCUUGAGGCCGGGAGGGGGUAGCGGAAUUCCCAGUGUAGCGGUGAAAUGCGUAGAUAUUGGGAGGAACACCAGUGGCGAAGGCGGCUACCUGGACCGGUUCUGACGCUGAUGCGCGAAAGCGUGGGGAGCAAACGGG